rnacentral:SRP_RNA from 1 species
GCCGGGCAUGGUGGCACAUGCCUGUAAUCCCAGCUACUAGGGAGGCUGAGGCAGGAGAAUCGCUUGAACCCAGGAGGCGGAGGUUGCAGUGAGCCAAGAUCGUGCCAUUGCACUCCAGCCUGGGUGAUGGAGCGAGACUCUGUCUCAA